AUUGAACGCUGGCGGCAUGCCUUACACAUGCAAGUCGAACGGCAGCACGGGAGCAAUCCUGGUGGCGAGUGGCGAACGGGUGAGUAAUACAUCGGAACGUGCCCAAUCGUGGGGGAUAACGUAGCGAAAGCUACGCUAAUACCGCAUACGAUCUACGGAUGAAAGCAGGGGAUCGCAAGACCUUGCGCGAAUGGAGCGGCCGAUGGCAGAUUAGGAGUUGGUGGGGUAAAGGCUCACCAAGCCGACGAUCUGUAGCUGGUCUGAGAGGACGACCAGCCACACUGGGACUGAGACACGGCCCAGACUCCUACGGGAGGCAGCAGUGGGGAAUUUUGGACAAUGGGCGCAAGCCUGAUCCAGCCAUGCCGCGUGCAGGAUGAAGGCC
rnacentral:rRNA from 1 species